UUUCUUUUUUAUGCAUCAUAUUUGGGAAUCUUUUUCUUACCCUAAGGAUAUAAAGAUAUUCUCCUAAAACUUUCAUAACUUUGUCUUUUACCUUUAUGUGUUUAAGCCUCUAAGAUGAACUUUUUUUGUAUGGUAUGAGAUAGACAUCUGUAGUAAAUUGUAUUAUUUUAAAACAAUUCUUCCUUUCCUCUGUGCCCUUGCCAUGGCUCACUGUGGGCAGAAUAUACUCCACUUUCUGACUGUCUUUGAACUGAACCAUGUGACUCGCUUUGGUGAAUGGAAUGGGAGCAGAUAUAAUGUGUGCCCCAGCCAACAAGAGACUUUUAAGUGUGCUAUGUGGUUUGGCUUACCCUCUUGGGUUCCUUACCUGCAACAUGAGAAGUGCAUGUCCCAGGUCCCCUCUUCUCCUCCAGCCUGGCUCAGAGAAUGAGAGACAGCUGGAGCAGACCUGACUCUGAACUGUUAGAUGUCACAGCUGGCAUACAGACCUGUAUGUGCAUGAGAAAGAAAUGUUGUUUGUUGUAAGCCACUGAGAUCUUGGGGCAUGUUUGUUAUACAGCAUCAUUGCAGCAACAUGGCUGACUAACACUAGAUUUAAUUUAUUUUUAUUUUCAAUAUGGAUAACCAAUUAUUGAAAUAUCCAUCCUUACCACAUUGAUCUCCAGUACCAAUUCUGCCAUAAAUUAAAUUUCUGCACGCAUGUGGGUCUGCUUCUGGAAUCUCUUUUCAGUUCCAAUUCUCUAUUUGAGUACUUACUUUACCAUUUUUAAAUAUAUUUAAUUGGGUUUGAUUUUAUAUUUUACUUAUUUUAUUUAUUUUUAAAAUUUAUUUUAAAAUGAAUUUGUUUAUUUUUGGCUGCAUUGGGUCUUAAUUGCUGCACGUGGGCUUCCUCUAGUUGCGGUGAGUGGGGGCUUCUCUUGUUGCAGAGCACGGGCUCUAGGCGUGCGAGCUUCAGUAGUUGUGGAACGCAGGCCCAGCAGUUGUGGCUUGUGGGCUCUAGAGAGCAGGCUCAGUCGUUGUGGUGCACGGGCUUAGUUGCUCUGCAGCAUGUGGGAUCUUCCCGGACCAAGGCUCAAACCCAUGUCCCCUGCAUUGGCAGGAGGAUUCUUAACCACUGCGCCAUCAAGGAAGUCCUUAUUUUAUUUUUAACUUAACAUUUUACUGAGGUAUAGUUGAUGUACAAUAUUGUAUAGGUUUAUAUAAAUGGCGUGUAACCUUUAAAAGUUGUGAAUCACUAUACUGUACACAUGUCACUUAAAUAAUAUUGCACAUCAGCUAUACCUCAGUAAAAAAGGUUACACUCCAUUUAUAGUUAUUACAAAAUGUUGGCUAGAUUCCCUGUGCUGUGCAGUAUAUCCUUGUAGAUGAUUUAUUUUAUACGUAGUAGUUUGUACCUCUUAAUCCCCUACCCCUAUCUUGCCCCUCCCCGCUUCCCUCUCCCCACUGGUAACCACUAGUUUGUUUUCCAUAUCUGUGAGUCUGUUUCGUUUUGUUAUGUUCACUAGUCUGUUGUAUUUUUUAGAUUCCACGUAUAAGUGACGUCAUACAGUAUUUGCCUGACUGACUUAUUUCACUUAGCAUGAUAUCCUCCAAGUCCAACCAUGUUGUUGUUGAUUUUAUAUUUUAAAAGGAUAUUUUUGGGGGCUUCCCCGGUGGUGCAGUGGUUGAGAGUCCGCCUGCCGAUGCAGGGGACGCGGGUUCGUGCCCCGGUCCGGGAAGAUCCCACGUGCCGCGGAGCGGCUGGGCCCGUGAGCCAUGGCCGCUGAGCCUGCGCGUCCGGAGCCUGUGCUCCGCGACGGGAGAGGCCACAGCAGUGAGAGGCCCGCGUACCGCAAAAAAAAAAAAAAAAAAAAAAAAAAAAGAAUAUUUUUCAUCCAUGUUCAUGAGUGAGACUGAUCUGAAAUUUUUCUUUUUCAGAUUGUCCUGUUGAGUUUUGAUAUCAAGGGUAUGACUGCCUUGUAAAGUGAGCUGGCAGGCAUUCCUUUGUUCCCUAUAUCAUCCACUUCUUUAACACUGGAAUUAUUGUUUCCUUAAUAGUUGGUGGUACAUUGGAAGAACAGCCUGAGCCUUGUGUUUUCUUUGUGGGAAGGCAUCAAGGUCACAUUACCCUCAUCAAAUCAGCUUGGGAAUAUUUCUUUCCUUUGGAACAGUUUGUGCAAAAUGUGAGUUAUCCAUUCCUUGAAUGUUAAUAGAAACGGCCUCUGAAACUCUAGGUGGGGUGAUUGUGUGUGUGUGUGUGUGUUAAAUUCCUAAUUUGAUUACUUUUAUUGUUAUUAGUCUGUUCAGGCUGCUUUUCUUGAGUCUGUUCUUUAUAUAUUUUUAAGAGAGUUGUCCCUUUUGCCCAGUUUUGAAACAUGGGAGUGAAAACAUGAUCAGGCCGGAGGUUUAGAAAGAUCUCUUGGUCAGGUAGAGUCGCAGGCACUAGAAAGCACACAUUUUCCCAUCUACACUUUAAUUUUAGGUAUGUGUUUGGGAGUCUGGGGCUUAGAGGGAGGAGCUCUGGCUGUGUCUAACUUGGUCCCACCCCCGUCAGUGUCCAGGUUCUUUCCUUGUGGGUGUGGAGCUCCAUCACUUUUAACCUUGCUAAUCCCUUCAAGCCUGGUUUCCUCAUCUAAUAAAUGGAGGUAAUAAUACCCACCUCACAGAAUUGUGAGAAUUAAGUGAUAACGUAUAUGCCAGCACCUGUAUAGAUUCAGACAUAAAAAACCCUUUGGAGAGCUCCCGGACCAGACAUUCUGAUGGGACUCUCAACUGGAUGGAUCUCUAAAAACGCUCAGAAAUAGCUCUCAAAAUCACAAAUGUAUGUUGUGGGGACUUCCAUGGUGUGAUAACAAGGCCUGGACUUAACCUCCCAUUGUGAACAGUUGGAAAGCUGAACAGGAUACAUAAAAGAACUUUUUUCUCCCAGGCAUCGGACAACAGGUGGUGCACAACUGUGGUGCCUGAGAAAAGGGAUGACAAUGAAGUGAGCCUUAUAAUCGCCUGCGCUUUCUGCCUGGAGGCAAUCUGACACCAGGAUCGGGGAGGAGGAGCCCAGAGAGAGGCAGGCAGCCGCCUUGAGUUGUGCGAUCAAAGAAGGUCCAAAGAAGCCAGCCCAGGCCCGUGCUCUGCUCCACCACUCCCUCCCCUGGGAUUUGAUGCCAGAACCUCUGACAAAGCACAGAAAUAUUUACUGAACAUGUACUGCAUGCAGAACACUGUCCUAGACACGGGGUGAGGCAGCUAUAAACCAGGGCCUGUGUUUCAUUAAUUCUAAGUAGCACUUAAAACACAUUCCAACAGCUCUGAAAGCACGGUGUGUCUUAUAGCCUAUAGCUUUGGGUGCACAGAGAGAAACAAUAGGGAAGCCGGGGGGAGGGGCACGGGGAGGUGUUGCAGGAAGCGGGACCUCUUCCAGGGCCUGAGAGUGGGCUCUUGUCUAACACUUGGAAAUGGAUUAUCCGAGGAGACACACCUGCUGAUGAAGCAAGAGGUUUCAUCGGGAAGGGGCGCCCGGGUGGAGAGCAGCAGGGUCAGGGAACCCAGGAGGACUGCUCUGCCUUGUGGCUCGCAGUCUCGGGUUUUAUGGUGAUGGGGUUAGUUUCUGGGUUGUCUCUGGCCAAUCGUUCUGACUCAGGGUCCUUCCUGGUGGUGCACGCAUCACUCAGCCAAGAUGGAUUCCGGCGAGAAGGAUUCUGGGAGGUUGGCAGGACAUGGGGACUGGCAACAGAGGGGUCUGGGGGCUUGUGAGCCCCCUGGAAAAGUAACAGGGAAGAGCUAAAUUGGACUCCACGUUGGAUCUGCUUCUUUGACUUUAACCUUUGCUUUUCUUUGCUUUUGUCAUUAUAAUUGUACAUAAUGACCUGCCUCAGGGAACCUUGCCCACCUGUGAAUGGCUGCAAGAAAAAAGAAACUAACACAUCCCCUCACCGAGGCCGGUCAUUCCAGGCGAUGUUUUGCAAGACUGAUGGCCCUUUUACUUUACUUCCUCACUGCCCUCUCUGAUUCUAUAAAAGAAGCCGGCAUCCAGACCCCCGAUAAGACGGUUUAUCGGAGACGCUAGUCUGCCAUCUUCUCGGUCUGCCGGCUUUCCGAAUAAAGCCGUCUUCCUUGCCUCAA